rnacentral:rRNA from 1 species
GUUGUAUAGUUAAGUGACUAAGCGUACAAGGUGGAUGCCUUGGCAAUCAGAGGCGAAGAAGGACGUGCUAAUCUGCGAAAAGCUUGGAUGAGUCGAUAAGAGGCGUUUAAUCCAAGAUAUCCGAAUGGGGAAACCCAGUGGGUGAAGAAUCCACUAUCAACAAGUGAAUACAUAGCUUGUUGAGGCAAACCGGGAGAACUGAAACAUCUAAGUACCCCGAGGAAAAGAAAUCAACCGAGAUUUCGUCAGUAGCGGCGAGCGAAAGCGAAAGAGCCUGUUAAUGAUAACAGCAGAGAUAGAGGAAUAAGCUGGGAAGCUUAGCGACACAGGGUGAUAGCCCCGUACUCAAAAUCCAGGCUGUGGUACUAAGUUAACGAGAAGUAGGGCGGGACACGUGAUAUCCUGUUUGAAGAUGGGGGGACCAUCCUCCAAGGCUAAAUACUCCUGAUUGACCGAUAGUGAACCAGUACUGUGAAGGAAAGGCGAAAAGAACCCCGGUGAGGGGAGUGAAAUAGAACCUGAAACCUUGUACGUACAAGCAGUGGGAGCCUGAAAGGGUGACUGCGUACCUUUUGUAUAAUGGGUCAGCGACUUAUAUUUUGUAGCGAGGUUAACCGAAUAGGGGAGCCGAAGGGAAACCGAGUCUUAACUGGGCGACUAGUUGCAAGGUAUAGACCCGAAACCCGGUGAUCUAGCCAUGGGCAGGUUGAAGGUUGGGUAACACUAACUGGAGGACCGAACCGACUAAUGUUGAAAAAUUAGCGGAUGACUUGUGGCUGGGGGUGAAAGGCCAAUCAAACCGGGAGAUAGCUGGUUCUCCCCGAAAUCUAUUUAGGUAGAGCCUUGAGCGGACACCUUUGGGGGUAGAGCACUGUUUCGGCUAGGGGUCCAUCCCGGAUUACCAACCCGAUGCAAACUACGAAUACCAAAGAGUGAUACUCAGGAGACACACGGCGGGUGCUAACGUCCGUCGUGGAGAGGGAAACAACCCAGACCGCCAGCUAAGGUCCCAAAGUCUAUAUUAAGUGGGAAACGAAGUGGGAAGGCUUAGACAGCUAGGAUGUUGGCUUAGAAGCAGCCAUCAUUUAAAGAAAGCGUAAUAGCUCACUAGUCGAGUCGGCCUGCGCGGAAGAUGUAACGGGGCUGAAAUAUAGCACCGAAGCUGCGGCAUCAGUAGCAAUACUGUUGGGUAGGGGAGCGUUGUGUAAGCGGAUGAAGGUGUGUUGAGAAGCAUGCUGGACGUAUCACAAGUGCGAAUGCUGACAUAAGUAACGAUAAAACGGGUGAAAAACCCGUUCGCCGGAAGACCAAGGGUUCCUGUCCAACGUUAAUCGGGGCAGGGUGAGUCGGCCCCUAAGGCGAGGCUGAAGAGCGUAGUCGAUGGGAAACAGGUUAAUAUUCCUGUACUUGGAUAAACUGCGAUGUGGGGACGGAGUAGGUUAGGUUAUCGCACUGUUGGAUAUGUGCGUUUAAGUUGGUAGGUGGGAAGUUUAGGCAAAUCCGGACUUCCUUAACACUGAGAGAUGAUGACGAGGCUCUACGGAGCUGAAGUAACUGAUACCACACUUCCAGGAAAAGCCACUAAGC